CGGGGUAUAGCUCAGCUUGGUAGAGCAAUGCCUUUGGGAGGCAGAGGCCGUGGGUUCGAAUCCCCCUACCCCGA
rnacentral:tRNA from 1 species